AUGUCAGGUGGUUCUUUUAACAGAGAGUAUCACUGUAGGCUGACAUCCAGUUAUCCAGAGUUUGAGAAAAGAGAAAAUCUAGUAAAAGUUCUAUUUCCCCCAUGCAGGGCUGAGAGACAUGAGUUCUGCCCUGGAGCUGAAAUGGGCAUCAGGCUCUUCUUCUACGUGCCCCUUUGUCUGCUGUGGGCAGGACACAUGGAUGGUAGAAUCACCCAGAGCCCAAGACACAAGGUCACAGAGACAGGAACACCAGUGACUCUGAGAUGUCACCAGACUGAGAACCAUCGUUAUAUGUUCUGGUAUCGACAAGACCUGGGGCAUGGGCUGAGGCUGAUCCAUUAUUCAUAUGGUGUUCAAGACGUUAGCAAAGGAGAAGUCCCAGAUGGCUACAAUGUCUCUAGAUCAAACACAGAGGAUUUCCCCCUCACUCUGGAGUCCACUACCGGCUCCCAGACAUCUGUGUACUUCUGUGCCAGCAGUGACUCCACAGUGCUGCACAGCUGCCUCCUCUCUGCACAUAAAGGGCAGUUAGAAAGGCUGAGAUUGCUUUGUGUCUGUCCCCAACCUGGGAAGUCCGACGUCCAUAGGAGUCUGAGAGCCCUGGCCAGGCUGGAGGCCAUAGAGCAGGGGCCUUAUGACCCUCAGUGCUGACGUCCAUUCCUACUGGAGUCUCAGACCAGCUAAAGGUCAUCCCAACACACUUAGCUUGCUGAGUCUCUCUUCUGUAGCUCUCUCUUUCUGCUUGCAGAAAGGAAA